UCCGUAGGCGGCGUGGCAAGUCGGUAGUGAAAUCUCUCGGCUUAACUGAGAGGCUGCUGCCGAAACUGCCAUGCUCGAGUGCGAGAGAGGCGAGUGGAAUUGCGGGUGUAGCGGUGAAAUGCGUAGAUAUCCGCAGGAACAUCCGAGGCGAAAGCGGCUCGCUGGAUCGCAACUGACGCUGAGGGACGAAAGCUAGGGGAGCAAACAGGAUUAGAUACCCUGGUAGUCCUAGCCCUAAACCAUCAGGACUUGGGGUUUGCCCUGUACGGGGCAAAGUCCCGGAGCUAACGCGUUAAGUCCUGCGCCUGGGGAGUACGGUCGCAAGGCUGAAA
rnacentral:rRNA from 1 species